UUUUGAAAAAUUUGCAAAGUUUAUGAAAUGAGUAGAUGUGGAUAUAUACAAGUAAAAUCUAUGUUUCUUGGACUCGAGUACGGGUGUCAGAAAAGGAUACAUAUCCAUGUGUUAAGACUUGUAAAAUUCUUAAAUAGAAAAUACAAGGAUAUGAAUCAAAAUUUGGACACGGGUGAUACUGAAAAAAAAUAAAUCUAGAUAGAUUAAUAUGUAAAAAAUAAU
rnacentral:misc_RNA from 1 species